rnacentral:lncRNA from 1 species
UAUUUCAAAAUGAUUGCUUUUCUCCUCCUACAGCCAGAAGAAGGAAGGUGUCUUUACUGUGAGAGUCUAUUAGAGCUCUUAGAGAUUAACUACAAAAGUUCUACAGAAGAGGGGAAUAACAAUUUCACCCUUCUUGAAUCUUGUUCCGAAUAUAUGGCAAAUAAUGGCAGUGAAGACUAGAUCUCCUUUCAUCAUUUGUGUGUGUGUGUGUUUGGGGAACCUGCGAGGAGGUUGGUCUAUCUAUUUUAUGGGCUGUAAUACAAAGAAAAACUCCAGAAAAGCAAGGUUCUAGUAGUGGUAAAAGAUGGGAAGCUCAUAUAUUAUCAAUCCAUAUAUAUGUCUCUCUCCAUAGUUUUGCACUUCCACCUUUAUUUAAAAUAAAUAAGGAAUUACCUAAGGCAGAAUAUUGACGGAUCUGUUUUAAAAAUUGAUUAUUUUUCAACGCCAAGGCUUAAAAAAUUAUUAGGGUUUACAAGGCGCUCAUAGAAAAGACUUACUUGUUUAUAAACUCUGUUAAGCUUCCCAAAUCUUUGCAUUUUUGAAAAUCUGAGGAUAAAUAUUACCUCUACC